ACAAAUAAUUUUGCUACCCUGAAUGUACCUGAUCUUGGAAGCUAAGAAGGGUUGGGCCUGGUUAGUACUCGGAUGGGAGACUGUGUGGUGGGACUGGGUGCUUUUGGCU
rnacentral:rRNA from 1 species